ACGGGUGUAGCUCAAUUGGUAGAGUAGCGGUCUCCAAAACCGUUGGUUGAGGGUUCGACUCCUUCCACCCGUGCCA
rnacentral:tRNA from 1 species